CUUAAAGUACAUUUUAGAAAUUCUCAGGUUGAUUCCCUGGGGGAGCGUAACAGCCUAGGA
rnacentral:tRNA from 1 species